CCGCUCACCCCUUGUGCGCCCUGCUUCUGUGACACAGUGGCCAUCCUCGCCCUCGGCUUCGCUGCGCCGGUUGAGCUACGUCCCGGUUCCAUGGCGUCACCCCCGCCACACAUGAGCUUUGCCUCGCCCGCUGCUCCCGUGGCUCCUGACUACCACGGCCGUGCUUUUGCCCUGGCCGUCGGCGCCACUUCCUCCCUGUCUCCGCCCGUUUCCGUCGGAAUGGCUGCGUGCGUCCUUCUCAACGAUGGCCAGCUUGUCCGGGGCACCUUCGUGCACUUCGAUCCCACCAUGAGCCCUGUCCUUUGUGACUGCGUCGAACUCCACCCCCAGGUCGGCUGUCACGUGUCUGGACCCCUUGUCUUCCCCCGUGCAGUGAUUGCCUCCCUGGCCAUUG
rnacentral:misc_RNA from 1 species